GGAAAAAUUAGCAUCUGACGUGGGAAAAAUGGUGGGGGUUGUGUGGCAUUGUGGAGGGUAGUGAACUGAAACCACCUCAGGAGAGUGAGUGAGCCACCAAAUCAACCAAAACUUUCCGGUCACCAAAACCUCCAAACUGUGCGAUAAGCCUACCUACUCGUAGUGUUACUCUAUGCAUAUCUUCUUAAAAAAUGAGAGAGAUAAAAAGAGUGGCUCAAACUCUCUCAAGAAUCUGAAUCUAUUCCAUGAAGAGAGUAAGAGUAAUGCAAAGAAAAAGACUUCCUUUACUUUCUAUCUUUUUCUUGAUAGCCAAACACCAAGUUCAAGCUCCCUUUUCUCAGUAAGCUCUUUGCACUUUGCAGGCAAGGUGGGACUUGGGAGGUAUAGUUCUUUCCCUCUUUGUUUUUAUCUCCACAUUUACAUAUGAGACUUUUUUCUUUGAAGUAAGGUUUUUUUGAAUAUAAUUUCGUUGCUAUAUAUAUUCAUCUUCAAAGAGAAAAGAGGAAAAAGAAAAUGCGUGGCUUUAAAUUCUUUGAUAGAUUUAAGAGCACCCAAGUCCACGCCUUAAGCCCCUCAGAUAACAAUUCUGGUAUGAGAGCCAAACUUCCAAAAUCCAAUUUCACCAACUCUGUUUCAGUGUCUUCUCAAGCGCUGCUUCCUUAUGGACUCCCUACAACUGAAAUUCUUGAACCCCAGCUAGACCCCGACUUAAAACCCAUAUACCAUGUGGAAUCUUUGGCUGACCUCUAUCGUCGCCUAGACACCUGCUUGCCAACGGAUAAAUCAUUAUUAUUUAUUGAGCAGUAUACCCUCUUGCGUUGCUUGGGUGAUUCUAAGCUGCUUAGAAGGUGCCUCUUUGCUGCAAGGCAACAUGCUACUGACGUGCACUCCAAGGUUGUGCUUUCUGCUUGGUUAAGAUUUGAUAGGAGAGAAGAUGAAUUUAUUGGCGUUUCAUCGAUGGAUUGUAAUGGCAAUGUUCUUGAAUGUCCCAUUGCUGCUUUAGUUUCCGGGUAUGAUCCUAAUUCAGUUUCUAUUCAUUGCCUAUGUAAUCAAGGUUGUUCUGAGGUGGUUAGUACACAAACCUUGAUAGGAAAUGAUUGCCCCAGUUUGGAUGAUGAUUAUGACAACGAUGAUGUUUCGUUUUGUAUUAAUGAUGAGUUGAUUCAUUGUUUUAGAUACAAAAUUGCUGCUCUUUCUAGUCCACUAAAGGCAAUGCUAUAUGGUAGCUUUGCAGAGUCAAGAAGGGAUAAAAUUGAUUUUUCAAUGAACGGAAUAUCUGUGGGGGGAAUGAGAGCUGUUGAAGUGUAUAGUAGGACUAGGAGAGUUGAUUUGUUUAGUGCUGGGAUUGUUUUGGAGUUGCUCUCUUUUGCAAAUAGGUUUUGCUGUGAGGAGAUGAAGUCUGCUUGUGAUGCUCAUUUGGCUUCAUUAGUAUGUGGAAUUGAGGAUGUAUUGAUUCUUAUUGAUUAUGGUUUGGAAGAAAGGGCAAACCUUCUUGUGGCUGCUUGCUUGCUGGUGUUGUUGAGAGAGCUUCCUAGUUCCUUGUAUAAUCGUAAAGUGCUGAAAAUUUUCUGUAGUCCUGAGGCUGGGGAGAGAUGGAGCAUGCUUGGGCGUGGUUCGUUCUUUCUGUAUUAUUUCCUGAGCCAAGUUGCUAUAGAAGAGAAUAUGGCAUCAAACACAACUGUAAUGUUGUUGGACAGAUUGCAAGAAUUUGCGACUGAAAAGUGGCAAAAAGCGCUUGCCAUGCAUAAACUGGGUUGUGUUCUUCUUGAGAGAAAAGAAUACAAGGAUGCCCAGUUUUGUUUUGAGGCAGCAGUUCAGGCAGGUCAUGUUUAUUCAGUAGCUGGUAUUGCAAGGGCUAAGUACAAGCAAGGGCAACAGUAUUCAGCAUUUAGGUUGAUAAAUUCUAUAAUUUUUGAGUAUAAGCCAGUUGGUUGGAUGUACCAAGAGAGAUCUUUAUAUGGUGUUGGAAGAGAGAAAAUUAUUGAUCUCAAUACUGCCACUGAACUGGAUCCAACCCUCUCAUUUCCCUAUAAAUACAGAGCUGUCAUGAAGGUGGAAAAGAAACAUAUUAAGCAAGCUAUCUUGGAGAUUGGUAAAAUCAUUGCAUUCAAGCUUUCACCGGACUGCCUUGAAUUGCGGGCUUGGUUCUACAUUGCACUUGAAGAUUAUGAAAGUGCCUUGAGAGAUGUUCGAGCAUUAUUAACUUUGGAACCUAAUUAUAUGAUGUUUCAUGGGAGGGUGAGCAGUGAUCACUUGGUUGAACUUCUAAGCCAUCGGAUUCAGCAGUGGAGCCUGGCUGACUGUUGGAUGCAACUUUAUGAACAAUGGUCAUGUGUUGAUGAUAUUGCCUCUCUGGCUGUCAUAAAUCAAAUGCUGGUAAAUGAUCCUGGGAAGAGCCUAUUAUGGUUUCGGCAGUCUUUACUUCUUCUAAGGUUAAAUUGUCAGAAGGCAGCAAUGCGCUGUUUGCGGUUGGCUACUAAUCAUUGUAGUUCUGAGCAUGAAAGACUGGUUUAUGAAGGAUGGAUUUUAUAUGACACCGGCCAUCGUGAAGAAGCUCUCUUCAGGGCUGAGAAAUCCAUUUUGAUCCAGAGGUCAUUUGAAGCAUUCUUUCUUAAAGCAUACAUAUUAGCUGAUACAAAUCUGGAUCCUGAAACAUCAUCUUAUGUCAUCCAACUAUUGGAGGAAGCUCUUCGAUGCCCUUCAGAUGGUCUUAGGAAAGGACAAGCAUUGAAUAAUUUAGGAAGUAUUUAUGUGGAUUGUGGUAAGCUGGAUCAGGCUGCAGAUUGCUACAUGAAUGCCCUUAAAAUUAAGCAUACAAGAGCUCAUCAAGGGUUGGCACGUGUUUAUCAUUUGAAAAGUCAAAGGAAAGCUGCAUUUGAUGAGAUGACCAAGCUAAUAGAGAAGGCACAUAAUAAUGCAUCAGCAUAUGAGAAACGGUCAGAAUACUGUGACCGUGACAUGGCAAAGAAUGACCUUAAUAAGGCAACACAGCUCGAUCCACUACGAACAUACCCGUAUAGGUACAGGGCAGCUGUGCUAAUGGAUGACCAAAAGGAAACUGAAGCACUAGAAGAGCUUACGAAGGCAAUAGCUUUUAAACCUGAGUUGCAAAUGCUUCAUCUUCGAGCAGCAUUUUAUGAGUCAAUAGGGGACCUCCCUUCAACACUUCAGGAUUGUGAGGCAGCUCUCUGCCUGGACCCCAAUCACAUAGAUACACUUGAUCUGUACAAUAAAACACAGAACCGCGCUGCUCAUCAGUGAAACUUUUGAACAAUUCUACAAUGUCGGUGAUAAUUUCUGUGUACUUCUCUAUUAGUUCUUGAGGGUAAAAGUCAUGAGUUCCGACACUCCAUGCUGAUUUUAUGAAUAUUAUAAUUUGGAAAACAUAUGGUCCAAAAGAUCAUCCAUCAACAAGAUUACCACGUGGCGAAUAAUGCAUUAAGGAGAUGCAUUGAUGUCGCAAGUAUAUAUGGCUUUGUGAAAUUGAUUGGUUAGAAGGAAUACUGCCAGCCCUUGGACAAUUUCAGUGGAAGUUAAUGGUGUAUAGCAGCAUCAGAUUAAGGUCUAAAAGUUCAUUUCUUUAGUAACUUGUUCACUUGAACAGUAUACAUUUCACCACUUGUUUCUCACUAGAAACAGUUUUUUUCCUCUUUUAUUAUUAUCAUCAGCUCAUCUUGUACAUGAACAUAGUCAGGAAGAGAUCUGAAUGUCCCUCAUCGCAUCAUGCUUUUAUACUGCAAUCUGCAGUAGGAUUUAGACAAGAAAUUCCAUGUAGUUUCUCUGGAUAAUGGACAUAAGCUCUCUACUUCCAUUUUCUCUUGCUUUCCUUAUAACUUUUUCCUGUGCUUAGCUUGUCUUGUGGUGGAAGGCACUCCUGCUCAAUAACUGUAAAGGACGAUCAUUCCUGAUAUAACUAAAGAAAGGAAGGUAGGUGUUUUAAUAUUAAAACAGUAUUUGACUUCGAACAUUAUUGUUUUGAUCAUUUUUUAGUAUUGGACAAGCCUGAAUUUAUUGUAUUCAAAUGUACACAACCAGCUUUAAUAAGGCGAAAGAAGAAGAAAUUAGAAACAAGUGGUCACCCUUUUUCAGCUAUAGACAUAUCAUUUUCUCUGCACACAUCAGAUACAGGCAUUAUCUACCUCAGAAACCACUGCUACUGAAACAGGAUCAGGGGGAAAAAUAGUUAAAAGAGCAUGAAAAGAAUCCUUAAAUUCAUACUUCAGGCUAAAAUUCCACCUCAACUUCCUUCUGUGGACAAAAUUUCAAGUUCUGCCCACCAUAGAGGAGAUAAUUUGGGAGUUGCUUCAUCAGGUCCCAUUGAUAUGAUCUCCUUUAACUUGGCCACAACCUCGCACAUCGUUGGUCUCUGUUUGGCAUCAUGGUGGAUACAGCUUUUUAUCACUGAAAGCAAUUUCUCAAGUUCAUCUUCUCGGAAAUAUUUUAGAGUUGGAUCUACCAUUCCCUCUAAGCUUUGCUGCCCUCUUAGUAACUCGGAUGUCCAGCCUGCAAGAGAGCCUUUGUCCAUUGUAUAUAACAUCCUACCGGUCAUCAUCUCAUACAAAAUUAGCCCAAAACUGAAAACAUUGCUUGCUGGAUAUAUUGACGGCAGUUCCAUAAGCUCAGUGGAUGCUGAUUCCAUUUUUAUACUUGUUACAUCAUUCCAGUAACUGAAAUUUGAUAUUUUGGCAGCAUAAUCGUCAGUCAGAUAUAUCGAGGACGAUUGCAGGUUUUCAUGGACUAUGGGUGGUGUUAGUUGGUGCAUGUACUCAAGGCAAUAUGCCACACCCAUUGCUAUUCGCAAUCUCAUCCCCCAGUCCAAGUGUUCAGCUUCUUUUAUGUGCAGAUGUUCGAAAAGAGUUCCAUUUGGAGCAUACUCAAAAACCAUCAUUCUUGUGAAAGGCUCAUCUUCUUCACAAUAUCCAAUGAGGUUGACAAAAUUUUUGUGGUUCAUUUUUGAUAAUGUGUCGAUCUUCUUUCUGAAUUGUGCUUGUAAAUUUUUUGACCAAUCUUUAAGGGAUAUGACCGUGGUAGAUGUCACAGCUAUUUCAACUCCACUUGAUAAAGUCCCCUUAUACACUGUGCCAUUCAAAAAGUAGCCAAUUAUAUUGCUGAAAUCUUCACAAGCAGCUUCAAGUUCUGAUCGCUUCAGUUUUGGGACACCUGUUACAAAAGCUUUUUGCAGCUGGCCGCUUAACCCUGUGGCCCAAGGUCUGACAGUGACCACCUUAUUGCUUCUGAAGAAGAUGGCACCGGCAGCUGAAAUCAAAAGCAACAAAGAACCCCCAGCAAUACCGGCAAUUAUAAUUAUUUCAUGGUUUGAGUUGAAAUCAUUAUCUACUCCUUGACUUGGACUUGAAGAAGGGGUCACUGGAAUCCCAUGGUAUUCUGAUGGUGCAAACACUACAACUGAUGGAUGUGCAGGAGCAGGUGAAACUUUAGUUGCAGAUUCUAUUGAUGAUGGUGAUUCUGUGGGUGAGGGUGAAGGAGGCAAGAGGAUACUUGAAGGGGAUUCUGAUGGAGCAAAUGAUGGAGAUUGUGAAGGAUGUGAGGGGGAAAAUGAUGAUGGUGACAAUAAUGUUGGAUCAGAGGGUGAGAAUGAUGAUGGAGAUUCUGAUGGUGGAAAUGAUGGUGGCAAUAGAGACAGAGAAGGUGAUGGUGCAAAACUACUAUGAUGUACUUUAUGAUUGUUGGCUUUGGGUGGAUUUGCUGCAUCAACCACCCGCAACAGCAUCCUGUGAGCUAUGUCUCCUUGGUGAGCCAAGUUCCAGGUUAAGUCUCCGCUGCUACACGAAACUCUUUGCCGGUUUUCAUCUGCCUGAAUUUCAGAAAUCAUCUUAAGUUCAUAUAAUUCAUGGGAAAUGCUGCUAAUGAACUUGUUGUUAUCAAGUAAUCUGGAAAUAUAAAUCAGAAGAUGACUUAGAAAAGACAUCCAUGUUUUAAAAGGAAAAAGAUUCAGAGGUCCAGGGAGGAAAAGAAAAAUCUCACAGGGUAGUCAGUGACAGAUUAUUGGCAAAUUCAGAUGGAAAUGGUCCACUGAAGUUAUUAUAUCCCAAGUCCAAUAGCUCCAGAUCCUUCAAUUCUCCAAUCUCCUUAGGGAUAUUUCCAGAGAAUGAAUUGUUGCGUAAAAUACUGCUAAGAAAAUGCAUGAGAUAAAUCACCUGGAUGAAAAAGUUCUUCCAAAACAAAAUCCUCUUUGCUUACAUAGAUUUUAAGUAAGCCAGCUUCCCAAGUUCAGGUGCCAGUGUUCCUUCAAGACACAGAUCUUUCAAAUGCCUACAAGUUGAAUAGUUCUGAUUUCAGGCAAAACAUAACAAAACAAACCAACACUCUGAUACAUGUUAAAUGAUAAACCACAUAAUCAGAAUGAGGAAUAUAGUCCACAGGAAGGGUAAAAGAAUUAAAUGAAGAAACAGUGACAAGGACAAUAUAAUUGACAUGAUCAAACCCAAAAAAGAAAGGAAAAAACGCAAGAAUUUUACCAUUUAGCCCAAAUUAUUUUGAAUUUUCCACCGUAUGAACAUCGCACAUGCAGCAUUAAAUAGGAGACAUCUAACCUAAUCUGAUCAUACAGACUGUCCACAGAAAUUAGUGCGGUGGUUAGCACUAGUAUUUAACUCGGAUCUUCCUAUUCAAAUAUGGAUCCUUGGCUAAAAAUUAAAAUUUGACUUGUAAUUAAGGCCUACAGUAAAUUCUUUAGAGAGGGAUUCCUUUGUGCACACUCUAACUCGCUAAGACAUUGAGAACUUGUUGUUCAAAAGAGAGAAAGAGAGGGCAAAAUCUGUAUUAGAAUUGAUCUUCUCUGAAGAAAUUGGAUUCUUGAUUCAACUAAGUGGAUAUCCAAAAGACACCCAUGUUAGAGAACUGAAGCUUUUAAAUUAGGAGAACUAAAUAAUGA
rnacentral:misc_RNA from 1 species